CCUACGGGAGGCAGCAGUGAGGAAUAUUGGUCAAUGGACGCAAGUCUGAACCAGCCAUGCCGCGUGCAGGAAGACGGCUCUAUGAGUUGUAAACUGCUUUUGUACGAGGGUAAAUCCCGAUACGUGUAUCUGGUUGAAAGUAUCGUACGAAUAAUGAUCGGCUAACUCCGUGCCAGCAGCCGCGGUAAUACGGAGGAUUCAAGCGUUAUCCGGAUUUAUUGGGUUUAAAGGGUGCGUAGGCGGUUCGAUAAGUUAGAGGUGAAAUCCCGGGGCUCAACUCCGGCACUGCCUCUGAUACUGUCGGGCUAGAGUGUAGUUGCGGUAGGCGGAAUGUAUGGUGUAGCGGUGAAAUGCAUAGAGAUCAUACAGAACACCGAUUGCGAAGGCAGCUUACCAAACUACGACUGACGUUGAGGCACGAAAGCGUGGGGAGCAAACAGGAUUAGAUACCCGAGUAGUC
rnacentral:rRNA from 1 species